GUGCUCGCUUCAGCAGCACAUGUACUGGGAUUAGAAUGAUGCAGAGGAGAUUAGCAUGGUCCCUGCACAACGAUAAUGCACAAAUCCAUGAAGUGUUCCAAACAAAG